rnacentral:lncRNA from 1 species
CAACGGAACAUCGAAUGCCAGAACGUUGUGCUGUUGUGAUGAUGGUCCUUUGAGAAUUUUCUGCUACUGAAGAAAGAGUUCCCUUCCUCUUGGCUGCCGAACA